CCUACGGGAGGCAGCAGUGGGGAAUAUUGCACAAUGGGGGAAAGCCUGAUGCAGCGACGCCGCGUGAGUGAAGAAGUAUCUCGGUACGUAAAGCUCUAUUAGCAGGGAAGAAAAUGACGGUACGUGACUAAGCACCCCCGGCCAACUACGUGCCAGAAGCCGCGGUCAUACGUAGGGGGCAAGCGUUAUCCGGAUUUACUGGGUGUAAAGGGAGCGUAGAGGGCAGUACAAGUCUGGAGUGAAAGCCCGGGGCUUAACCCCGGAACUGCUUUGGAAACUGUGCGGCUGGAGUGCAGGAGGGGUAAGCGGAAUUCCGAGUGUAGCGGUGAAAUGCGUAGAUAUUAGGAGGAACACUGGUGGCGAAGGCGGCUUACUGGACUGUAACUGACGUUGAGGCUCGAAAGCGUGGGGAGCAAACAGGAUUAGAUACCCGUGUAGUC
rnacentral:rRNA from 1 species